UCCGGUUUGGCACCGGCAGUCUCCCAUGAGUCCCCGGCAUGACCCGCUGGCAACAUGGAACAGGGGUUGCGCUCGUUGCGCCACUUAAGGCAACACCUCACGGCACGAGCUGACGACAGCCAUGCAGCACCUGUGCAGGCUCCCGAAGGAGCACCGGCUUUCACCCGCUUUAACUAGCAUGUCAAGCCUAGGUAAGGUUCUUCGCGUUGCAUCGAAU
rnacentral:misc_RNA from 1 species